GAUGAACGCUGGCGGCGUGCUUAACACAUGCAAGUCGAACGGUGAAGCAGAGCUUGCUCUGUGGAUCAGUGGCGAACGGGUGAGUAACACGUGAGCAACCUGCCCCUGACUCUGGGAUAAGCGCUGGAAACGGCGUCUAAUACUGGAUAUGAGCUGCGACCGCAUGGUCAGCAGUUGGAAAGAUUUUUCGGUCUGGGAUGGGCUCACGGCCUAUCAGCUUGUUGGUGAGGUAAUGGCUCACCAAGGCGUCGACGGGUAGCCGGCCUGAGAGGGUGACCGGCCACCCUGGGACUGAGACACGGCCCAGACUCCUACGGGAGGCAGCAGUGGGGAAUAUUGCACAAUGGGCGAAAGCCUGAUGCAGCAACGCCGCGUGAGGGAUGACGGCCUUCGGGUUGUAAACCUCUUUUAGCAGGGAAGAAGCGGAAGUGACGGUACCUGCAGAAAAAGCGCCGGCUAACUACGUG
rnacentral:rRNA from 1 species